ensembl:lncRNA
GUGACGUCCUCGCAUGAUCAGCCAAUCCCGCGCCGCCCUCGUGUUUACAGGCUGAUUUCCGCGCAUGCGCUCUAGCAUGUAAAUAACAGCAACCGCGGUGGUUUGUUUGGUGUCGCACAGGCUCAUCAAAUAGACGAAUAAUCGGUUUAUAUUUACAGAGAACGCCAUUAUAUCUGCUACGUUCAUGAAAUGUAGCAUGACACAGCAGGUUGUUGAUCAGAGAAACACAGCUGAACCAGGAGCGAAUGCUGCUCAAUAACACACUCAAACAUUCAAGACCAUUAUUCAAGACCAUUCAUCAGCUGUGGGAUUCGCAGAAAUGCUUACAGAAAACAGGAAACGUCAGCGCGCUGAAGGUGAUGAUGAAGAUGCUCAGAUGCCUCAGGCCAAACGACUGAGUUCAGCUCUCCAGAGCUCAGAGACGGGUAGAGAAUCAUGGGAGUCUGAGUCUUCCAGUAGCGAGAGCAGUUGGAUCAGCAGUCCGGAUCACGCCGCAGGGAGCAGCAGCAGUAGCCAUUGUGGAGUGGAUGUUAUAGGGCCCCACAGCGGCCCCGGCCCCUGCAGUCCCCACAGUGCCUCUAAGCAGCCGGACCCCAUGGACCUGCUGUCCUACCAGCACAUCAACCGUGUCCUGAGGGAAGCCCAUUUCCAAAGCUUACAGAGCCGAGCUCAGUCCAAGCACAGGUGACUUUCAGGGACAGACAAACCCCGUAGUGACCAGGGUAAAACUUCUUCAUCUCCAUCCUCAUUCAAACCUGCUCCUAUUUUCUAGAUCUCUCUGCUAGAACUCAUGUUAUGUUGAUAUUUUAUUGGAUGGAAAACAUGCCCUGGUACUGUAAGCUCUUUGACUAACUAGAGCACAAAAGUGUUCAUUGUAAGCAAUAACGGCUUGACUAUGAUGCAAACUUUUGUGACUUUCACACUGUGUACUUUUCUUCUGAAAACAGCUGUAUUGAGAAUUAAAAUGCAGUUUAGUGGGGAUUUGCACUUGGGAAUUUAUGUUGAUCUGAUAUUGAUGUGGACCAUAUAGCAAUUCAGCUGAGCACAUUUAGAUGGGAGGCAUAAAUAUUCAGAUGCACCUCUGAUUAGUGAACUCCAUUGCAGUGCUGUAACUAAUGCAUAAAGGCGACAGUCGAUUUAAUAUCAAAGACUGCGCUGAUGGGCGGGGCGGAUCUGGGGAAUUUCUUUAUAAUCUUGAAACAGUGGCUCAGAGGUUCUGCCGGAUCUCUUGCCUCCCAACCAUCACUGAAGCUGGUUGCUCAUCCAGGCAUCAGACCUUCGAAGCCCUGCGGAGGUUUUCUUGUGUGCUAUUCAAAUUCUGCAUUUUAAAGAUUGUUGUUUAUUUUACUAUACCUUUUUGUAUUGAAAGAUGUACAUUGCAUUUUACAUUCAGAUCAUCUACAUUUCUAAAUAAAGAUGGAUGUUCUUAAGCA